CUCAAACGACGCUUCUUCCCGAACAAACAUUUUCAUGCAGCAAUUCUGAAGUAACGUGGAUACAAAAAUGAUACGUUAACAGAUGUUUUCUAAAACUCUGGAAAAGGUCAUCGGUUUUAAUUGGUCGAGGAACCAUGUGGUGUCCAUGUGGUGUCCAUCCAACAUCGGCCAAAAACUGAGGAAAGCUGCCACACCUGUUUGUCCUUCAAAGCGUCCUUCACAUGGAUUCCACCUUUUACUUUUUCCCCUCCUCGACUCCUCGACUCCUCGACUCGCGUCCCAGUCCCGCCCCCACGAGAUGCGAGCGGAGGGAGGAGAGAGGAGUGGAAACAGCCGUUUAGAUAAAUGAGAAAUCCUCUCCUCUGAGCGGUCAUUCUGAAGCGGCGUCCAAUAAUGAUGACAGGAGGCACAGCAACACUGUUUUCAUGACAAUUUAUAUAUAUAUAUGUUUUCCCAAAUUUGAAUUUCCAACCAUUUCUUGGUAAUUAUCACUUUUUCCUAGAUCUGACUUUUUUUCAAAUUUCAGAUUUUUUUCCUAAAUGUCAGAUUCAUUUUUUUAAAUGAUCAGUCUUUCCUUUUUAAAAUGUCCCACUUUUUUCUCAUUAUUCUAGCUCCUUCUUCAUGAGGCUCUAAUGAUCUUCUUCACAGUUUUAGUCUCCCCUUUCUUUUCCCUUUCUAUUUUCUUUUCAAACUUCUGAUUUUUUUCUCCAAAUUCUGACUUUUUCACACUACACACUGUACGACACACACCUACACACAGGAUAUA